AGAGGAAGUAAAAGUCGUAACAAGGUCUCCGUAGGUGAACCUGCGGAGGGAUCAUUACAGAGUUCUCGCCCUCGCGGGUAGAUCUCCCACCCACUGUUAUUGCUACCGUGUUGCUUUGGCGGGCUGCUGGGCCUAGCCCGGCCGCCGGCUCCGGCUGGCGCGCCCGCCAGAGGCCCGACAAAUUCUGAUUGUCAGUGUCGUCUGAGUACUAUAUAAUAGUUAAAACUUUCAACAACGGAUCUCUUGGUUCUGGCAUCGAUGAAGAACGCAGCGAAAUGCGAUAAGUAAUGCGAAUUGCAGAAUUCAGUGAGUCAUCGAAUCUUUGAACGCACAUUGCGCCCUGUGGUAUUCCGCAGGGCAUGCCUGUUCGAGCGUCAUUUCAACCCUCAAGCUCUGCUUGGUGUUGGGCCCCGCCGCUCGCGGCCGGCCCUAAAGACAGUGGCGGCAGCGUCUGGCUCCAAGCGUAGUACAGCUCUCGCUCUGGGGCUAGGCGGUAGCCUGCCAGAACCCCCUUCUAUGGUUGACCUCGGAUCAGGUAGGGAUACCCGCUGAACUUAAGCAUAUCAAUAAGCGGA
rnacentral:rRNA from 1 species